UCCUGAAGUGGAAGGAGCUCAAGCACCAGGCCCGGGAGGAGAACACAGUGGGGAUCAGGAUGUGUUUGCUGCAGCAGGACAGGAGGAGAGUGGAAGGCUACCUGUGGCAGAGCCUGCCAUACCUGAAGGAUUCUCAGGCCUCCUUGCGAUGCGAGGCUGUCACAUUCCUUGGGCUGGCUGUGCAGCACUCCAGGGAACAAAGUGAGGAAAUGCUGAAUGAAAUCUGCAAUGCCCUUCAGCCUUUGGAAGAUGACGCCCAUCCGGCAGUCCGUUCCCUGGCAGCUGGGACAAUCCAGAUGCUGAGACAUGAAAGGCAGCAGGCGGCAUCAGCACGGAGCAGGCUCGCAGCGCUUUGCUGCUGGCCCUGCAUCGCCAUCUGAAAUGUGUCAAGUGAGGUGCGAGAAGGUUCCAUCCGCCUCUUCAAAGAAGUGAUGGAUGCUGUGGUGUGGCGUGAGAAGGCAAACAUGAAGAAGGCUGUGCGCAGGGGCCUGCUCCCUCUGCUCUUUCAGUUGAGCAGCGACAAAGAAUGAUUCUGCAAAGCUUCUUUGCUGACAUUUAGCUCUUAAAAUAACGACAUUAUUUUUAGUAUCCUACGUUAUUUUAUACAUUUUAUGUUUUGUUAGUUUUGUAUUAAAUUAUAUUUUUACAUUUAAAUAUUUUUGUAAUAAAAUAUAUUUUUAUAU
rnacentral:lncRNA from 7 species